rnacentral:tRNA from 1 species
GCCGGGGUAGCUCAGCUGGUUAGAGCGCGGGACUCAUAAGCCCGAGGUCGAGAGUUCGAGUCUCUCCCCCGGUA